rnacentral:rRNA from 1 species
UACGUAGGAGGCAAGCGUUGUCCGGAUUUAUUGGGCGUAAAGAGCGUGUAGGCGGCCUGAAAGGUCAGCUGUGAAAACUCGAGGCUCAACCUCGAGACGUCGGUUGAAACCAUCUGGCUAGAGUCCGGAAGAGGAGUGUGGAAUUCCCGGUGUAGCGGUGAAAUGCGCAGAUAUCGGGAAGAACACCCGUGGCGAAGGCGGCACUCUGGGACGGUACUGACGCUGAGACGCGAAAGCGUGGGGAGCGAACGAGG